GAGGACCGGUGGAGAAGCGGUCGCCGGGCCCCCCGCUAAGAUGAAGGUGGAAACGGGAGACAGCUCCAUGAUAAACCUGUCGGUGCAGCAAGUGCUGAGUCUGUGGGCGCACGGCACCGUCCUGCGCAACCUCACCGCAUCCUUGUGGCAACUUCAUUAAUUACUUGCCAAGAAGCUAGAUAUAGGUGUGUCUGAAAUGGGAAACUGAAUCUGAGCAACUCUGAACACUGGGGAAAAUUCAGAUUGCAGAUCCAAACCCAGAUUCAUAUUUGUCUUCAACAUGCAUGAAACUGAGAAGAAGAAUCAUCUGGAGAUUUGAGCUUUUGUGAAAAACAGCUGACUGCCUAGGGAUGGAGGAACGGCUACUGUUUUCUCUGCUUCAUUGAAGCUUGCCAUCAGUUAAGACAGGUGUGUGAAAGGAUUAAACCCAGGGCAAGACUAUGUCUGGUAUUUACUGGAGAAAUGCAGCAGUGAAAAGUGCUCUCGUUUGGAAGAUACUGCUCUAUCUUGUUCUGACCCUGAGACAAGGAGGAGGAACUCAAAGGCUAGUCCAAGUUAAAAAGAGUCACUCUUGAGAUACAAUUACAAAAGCAGCGUCGACGUGACCUCUGCUCCGCGCCGCUGCGCCGGGAGGCGCCCGCUUGCCGCCAGGUGACGCUGUGGUGCCUCGGGAGCCGCCGCGCCGGGCGCCGGCACCGCCCGCGCUUCUGUGCCCCGCGCCGGGGACGCGAAGCAAAGCAAAACGGACCAAAAGGCACAAAAUGAAAAUGUCGGCGUUUUCGGUGGAGCAAAGCUGCUGCGCUUCAGUCCUCUUUUCCUGGGGCAUGAGAACCCGGCGGUAGCAAUACCCUCUUCUUAAAACGUAUUUUUUUUCUGUUCUGAAGGCGUACGACCAAAAUUGUCUUUUUUUACGUCAGCCUUCAGAAAAGCCUUGUGGAAAUCCCGCAUGUGUUUAUAAAUAUUCACACGCAGACAAGUGCUUAUAUGUGGAGUUCCUGUUUUUAUACGUCUGUAUACUCAUUUCCCGCUUUGGCCCUGAUGUUCUGACUAGCUGAACUCAGCUGUGGCUGUGCAGAGACAUAUAUGCAGUGUCUUCAAGAGCUCCUAGAUGAUCUAGAAGAGGACAUCCCACCAUGUAUGUCCUGGGCCUUGUCUUCACGAGAAAUUUACUCCUCUGAAUGACAGAAGAUAUCGUGUGAUCCAUCUUUGGUACUCAGACCCUGCAGCCAGAUUCUCAGCUGAGGAAAAAUGAUAGUGGCCUGCAGCUAUAAAGCAACAUGGAAGAGAGCCCUUAUAAAACAGAGCACACUGUGGGAAAAUCUUAAUCUGAAGCCUACAGUCAGCCACAAGAUGCAAGUCCACAGGAAACCAAGUUUCUGACACUUGAGAAGCUAUUUGUUAAUCACUUCUUGUAUCUUCUAAUAACCGCAACUUAUCUUAAUGUCCCUGGACACAAGCUCAGCAUGUCUUCAUGCUCCAAGUGGAGGGAAGGAAGAAGAAGCACCUGCUCUGGAGCAUUUGUCUUGGGACGAAGACUGACUGGUCAGAGCAGCCUAGGUGGGGCUGGCUGCAGGAGGUACAUGGCAUGGGAGCAUUGCAGCAGAUGUUGGAGUAUUUUAACUGUUUCAGUUCCUUUAUUGUUAUGGCUAGGAGAGACAGGAAGAGAGUAGGACAAAAAAAGCACGUGGAGCCAUUUUGCUGCAAGAAAAAAGCAUGAAUGGAGGGACAGACCCACCACACACAGGGACCUCCAUGGACCACAACAGCACAUCAGACAUCGGUGAAGGACAUAAGAUGUAUGAUGUGAAGUUCCCUGAUGUCCAAAGGAAGUGAUUCUAAUGGCUUCAAUGUGAAGAUAAUUUGGAGUGCAUCCAGAAAGGAACAGCACAAACGGCAAGAAAAUAUGAACAGGAAAGCAGUCUACAGAAAGGAGCAGAAAGAAUAACUGAAAGAAUUGCUGCAUCUAGAGGGAAAAGAAAAUUGAGAAAGGACAAAUGUUUUCAAAGACUUUAGAAGCCGAUACAGCAGCAAUUGUGAUGUUCUCCAUGUCCAUCACAGUUAGGACCAAGAGUGAACGGCUCAGUUUUCAUCAAGAGAGAUUUAGCUUUAUGCUAGGAAAUACUUCCUAACUACAAGCAAAGAAGGGAACACCUAGGGAAGCUGUGAAGUCCUUGUGUAGGAGAAGCCGCACAAGUUAGGUGUCAUUCUGCAGAGCACCCUCUGGGCGUAUCUGACCCAGCUCAUGGCAAGGAGAUGGGUGCGCUAACAUGGGGCCUACUGACAAAGCAGACGAACCUAUUUAACAGCUCUGUGCCAUUAAACUGGCAGCCCUACUCCUCUAUCCUCCCCUGAGGAGGCCGUCGUUGUCACUCUUCUGACUUUCCAGUGAGAUGAUUCGAUUUACUAACUUGGCAAAAAAAAAUCUAUAUGUAUACUGGGGGAGGAAUGCAUUAGUUUUCCUCUGCUUUAGUGAGCUGAAGCAGCUCACCAAAGGCCAUGCAGACCCGAAAGCCAGCGCAAGUGCAUGUGUCUGGAAGCAGAGGAUGGAGGCAUAGAGGAAUGGGGACUCUCCUCUCCUGAUGGAAGCAAGCUGUCAAGUCUUAAGCCCACCAGUGUCUUAACCAGCUUAGCCAGCCUCUCACUCUCAAUUCAUACAUCUUCAUGCUGCUUUAAGGUAUAUGAAUCCCACAGGACAGGGGAAAGAGGAAAGAGAAGUAGAGUUUUGCACCUAUUGCAGUUUCUUGUUUGCCUCAGCAAAGUGAGAAGCCCGACAUUAGCUGUCUGUUGGAGGCACCCUCAGCAGUGCAUUAACAACAAUGGACGCGAACAGCAAUUCGGUCCUCUGCGGUGCAGUCACAGAGACCUGCAAGCCAGGAAUGGGGAGGGGAAGCCCUCUACUCCAACUCACACACCUGUGCUGAUGAUGAGUAAGAAACAAGUAGUCAUUGCAAAACAUAGUUGAGAGCUCUUCUUUUAAUUCUGUGUUUAGAAAAUGCUCAUUUGCUUAACUAGUCAUUUUCUGACGGGCAUCUCUGGUUUUGGAGAAAAUACUGAGGGGUUCAUAAGUCAAAAGAGAUUUGAAAUUUACUGGAAAGUAACUGAAAAAUUGAGUAUUUUUGAAACUAGCUAACAGUUUAGGAGAAGGGACAAGUUUACGUUCCUGUUCUGCCUGACUCACGAGGGCUUUUAGCUGGGCUUCCCAUCUCCCUAGCAGAGCACAUCCACUUCCAAGAGCAGUGAAAGUAUUCAGGAGUGGGGCUGUCUGCCUCUCUUUUUAUCAACAGUUCUUUAAAGGUCUUCAGUUUAUCCUGAGUACUGGUGCAAGAUUUAUGAAAGUGUGUAUUGUAUCUUCCGUACAAAUAAUUGUACAUCUCUAAGAAUAUGUUGCCAUGAUAUAACCCAAUUUUAUUUCGUAAUAUAUAAUUAGCUUAUUACUAGUCAGAGAGAAUCACUGUAUAUAUAACUGGAUAUGAUCUUUAUAGGGCCAUAUAAAUUGUUGGUUUGCCACACAAAUGACUAUGCAAGACAGCUUUUUACAAUGUCUCUUAGCUGGCUUCAUGCAUGUGAAUGCAAAUGUACUUUUUGUUUGUUUGUUUUAACAUCGUUCUUUUGUAGAUAUAAAGCUUCUUUUUCCCAUCAUUCCUUUCUACCUCUACACAAAACCCAGAAAGUCUUCCCUUGCAUUUCUGUUACCUUAGAGCCUUCUGGUGAAUUCACGUAUUUCUGCAAAGCUCUGUUACAGUUUCUAGUUUGUCCAUUAACGGUAAUUCACACUGGAAAUUCUAUGGAAUAAUGGAGCAUGUUUACCAUAAGAGGUGAGUUCUUCAUGAUACAUAUUUAUACAGCAAAUAUCAGAAGAAAGCAUGGCUGGCUGUGGAGGACAAAGCAUGCCCUUUGCCUAUGACAUGCAGUUAGCUUUCCAAAUGAGUUCCCCCUCAUAGCCGAUAGAAGCUGGCUUUGGCAGCAUCAUUAGUGAUGGACCAUAUACCGUGGUUAAUCAUACCAGCUGAAAGGCUUUAAAGACUUGUCAUUUUCUUCUUGAAAAAUAUGUGUUUUCUCAUUCUAGUUGUAUUCACCAUAGGUCUCUAGGAGCCACAGUUCAUUAAAGGCACUUUAAACCCUGUUUAGCUACACUUUUAAAUUAACAUUUGUCUAAAGAAUGCAAUAACUGUAUGGAGCCAAAUUCAAAUAUGCAGGUUUGCCUCUUGCUUUAAAGAAAGCUCAGUAAUUAAGCUCAGAUUGACACAGAUCAAAACAUUGGCAAAAAAUGCUGGAAACAGUGACUCAUUUUUUAUUUCAAUUAACAGUUUCUCAGUUUCACAUAUAAACAGUGAAACUGACAAAACUAAUUAUCACAGAGGGAGAAAAACCUAUUUCCCUGCAAGGUAAGGAAAACUGGCUGAGACAGUAGCUGUGUGUACUGGUCUGGCUGUCAAGGAAUGAGAGAUCCAUUUAUCCCUUAGUACAAAACCUAUUAAUACUUCUUUUUCUGUUCUUUUAAAUAUUAAUACAUUUGUAUGUCUAAAUCCUUCUUGCUGAGGAAAGCUUUUCAUUUACUAAUUAUAUUAGGACAGAAGUAUUUUAAUUGGCAUUUUGUUUUUAUUUGUACGGGGCACUGAGCAGAAGGAUAAAGGCUAUGGGACUCUUAAUUAUCACAGAUGUUUUCUUAACUCAUUACAUUUAUAAUCUGAAUUCUGCCUCUGACUAUUUGAUUUAAAAAAUCUCUGUGGUUCCUUUUGUCAGCUAUGAUUUUUAACUUGUGUUUGGUUUAUUUGCUUUUAUCCUGACAAAGUCAGGGGAAUUUCAACUAAUUAUAAAAUUGCAAAAUUAUUUGGUUACUCAGAAACUUUGACAUAUGAAUACAAGGAAAAAAGUUGCUUAGGUUUAUGAACUUUAUCUGAAAUAUUGCCAUAUUAAUUAGUCUCCCACAGAGAAGGGUGAGAUUAUAACAUUUUCCUGUGUCUUUAUUUUUUGUUCCCUACUCUAUGUUGUAUGUUGUUUUCUGGGAUACAUUUCAGGUUCGUGAGUUAAACUGAGAUAAACAGUCCUCUCUGAGUACUUUUUGCACUAUAAGACCACAUAGUAUUUUUACUUCUCACAUAUAUUAUUUUGAAGAAUCCAUGCAUUUAUUCAGUGCUAUAUACUCAUUCUGCUUUUGAGGAUAUAACUAAAAGCAAGUUUUCCAGGCCUAAGGAGACGGGGUUUGGUACAAUUUCUGCUCAGCUGCCGGCUCCAGCCUGUGCUCCGCUUCAAGCACAGAAAUAAUCUCCCUGGAGUUGCUGAGAUCACACGUAGGCUUAACGCGUGCAUCUCAGUUUGACUCAGUUUGACCCUGCUUGACUCCAGAGCCAAGGAAAUGAUGCCAUCAUUGACAGAGCUGUUUAUUUCUGAUUUGUCUGUAUUUACAUACCCUCUGUGUCUGCUCUCCAUUAAUAUGUGAGACUUUAACAGGGGGGUUUUACAGUUACCACUGGCCAAACUGAGCCUCACUCGGCCCAGUCAGACACCAUCAAGUGCUUUUGAAAAAAUGCCUAUCUUCUUUCAGACAAAGUCCCCAAAGGGCGUAUGUGCUGAAAACCACAGGUAGAUACUCAUGACUGUAUCUUCUCCAUCAGUAUGUUACUGCAAACAAAAACUAAAAGCCCACUUCAGUGCUGUCUUAUAAGACAUAAAAAGCCAACAUUCAUGUGUUGAAGCUUAAGAUGUUUACUCAGUUAUUCAGUUCUCUGUUGGGAAAUGUCCCAAUGUCUCUAGAAAUUUCCUUGAGUUGGAUGUUUUUAUAAACAAUUACACUCAGUGUUAUCUGAGCAUAAUAAAACUAAAUGGCUUCCUGUCACCAUAACCACUGCUUAGUUUUAUACUUCUCAUAAUUUUCUGGAUCCCUGCGCUCUCUCUCCUUUCCUGGCUUCCUCUUGGAACAAAUUCCCUCUUUUGAUUUAUUUUACAAUGAUACUGUCUUCAUUCAAAUGCCUCCUUUAAAAUUUUAUUCUGUAAUCCGUUCAUAUUUUUUCCUCCUUUGUUAAUCAUUUCUUUUUGGGAUGGGAGGGGCUUAAGCACUAUUGUUCAUUUUAUUGUUUUGUUUGUUUAAAUAGCAAAUUGCCUUGGUUAAAGUGUUUGGUUAAAUAAAUACAUUUUUCUCAUGUUACUUGUCUUUUAUGGGUAGAGCAGGAGAUACAGAGAGUUCUAUUACUGAGCAGAUCUGAUAACAAAUUAGUCAGGAAGCUAUUGCUCAGGUUUAACUUUAGCAUCACUCUUCUCUGAACUUUCAGCUACCACCUGUUUCUGCCUUUUCCUUGUCCGUUAAUGUUCAUCUGCCAAGCAAUAUUUUUUCUAUGUAUUUUGAGACAGGCAGUUAUUUUGGGAGCAUGAUUGUGAAAAUGGAUAAGGCAUCAUGCUAAUUGUAUGAUCAAAGGUAAAACAGCAUCAGAGGUAACAUUUCCUGCAUACAUGCAUGUGUAUUUGCAAAUAAAUCCCUGGCUGAAUAUCUGAAUGCUUAUUAGCAAAUGUUUUGUAUCAGUGUCAAAGCCAGAAUUUUAAUCACAUUUCUCCCUGACAUUAGACACAGAGUCAAAGAAACUGAUGUACUCCAGCUGGAAGCUAACAUGAGACUGAAAUGACACAUCUCUUCACUGUGGAAUAUUUUUCUCCAGCUGUUCAUUCAUGGGGUGGGUUGUGGAGGCUGCACCUGUGCACUCUGGGGUAGCAGAAGUCAGGGAGGAUUCCCUGCCAUAAUAUUUGUCUCUGAAACACAUACUUCCUCCCUGAGGAAAAGGGCUAAUGUCAACAAAAAUGGAAACUUCAAAAAAAUGUAUGUAGUGCUGGGAAAAGCUAAGCAUCUUUGGACUUAAAUGUGUUGGGUGAUUAAUUUAAUGUGCCGUAUCUCUCUCAGAGACAUUUUCCUUCUUUGCCAAAAGCUGAAUACAGUUGGAAGUCUGUAAAUGUCCAUAGUUGCCAGAGCGCUUAAAAUCAAGAUACUGUGAAAUGCAAACAAAUGGAAAUGUUUAUCUCUUGUGUAAAUAUAAAAGAAUUAUUAAACAUUAAAUACCAAUUGCAAGAAGAAUCAAUUGAGAUGGUAAGAGCUGAAACUGAAGUGGUUCUUGGGUACGUGCUUGGAGCAUGAUUCGAGAUAGCGUGGGCUGAGCAAGCAGCUUCUGCUGUACACACAGAUUUUGCAACCACUGGGUUGGUUAGUGGUGCAGGAGCUUCCUAAAGUAAUUAGGGGAAGAUAUAAUCCUUCACACAGAUGCCCUCAUAUAUGAAUAAGAGUGAGUGGUAACUCAUUUUUCUUCUGUGCCUCCAUUUACUAUCCCUCUGUUUGUUAUUCUUAGUUAUUUGGUUUACAAGAUCUCCAGAACAUGCAUAGUUCAUAACUAUGUUUCUAUAAAGUGCUAAGGACAAUAAAAUCUUGAUUUUUUUGUCAAGGCAGGAGGGUAAACCAGCUACAGAAUAAGUUAUGAAAAGAGAUGGUUAAACCAAACAUAGCUGCAGCCUAAACAUAAAGGAAAAUGUGCUUAGUACAUUUUACAAGGAUUGUACUCUACAGACUAAAAAAUACAAACCUCCUUUACAAAAGGACAGUUACACCAUAACAGUUUUUGUGAAUGCAUCUGGACAAUGUUGACAUUUAACCUUUCUUUUGUUACAGAAAAAUGUUUUUGAGUGAUCUCUUCUGACCCACUGUUGCCCCUUUUUGCUUAACGUUCAAUUCUGUCAGCCCCUUCAAAAUGUAGUAUUCCCCUAUACUGCCAUUAAAUUGAAUAAUACAUGCAUAUGAUUCAAUCCAAGCUGUCUACAGCAGUUAGUAGCCUUCUGGAGAGUAUCCAGAUGUUGCUUGAAAAGAGAAGACAGGGAAAGAAAUAAACAAUUUCACUUGAUGACUGGGCCAGUGCAGCUUUUAAUCUCGGCCAUCUUCCACUUAUAAAACCUUGUUCAAGUAAAAUAAUUGUGUUUGAGACCCAAGUAUUUUUUUCUUGCAUGAGUCUCAAAGCUUUGUAUAGAGAUGGUAAAAUAUAACUGUCCAAGACAAACAGAAGAGGAAACUGAGGCACAGUCUUGGGCUAAACUCUGUAGAAAGACAACAAGAGAAACACAGGUAUUCUGGAAUAUACGGCCUCUCUAAAUUAUUAGCAAGAUUUCUUUCUUCAUUGUCCAACCUUUCUGCAGAACAGAAAAUGUUCCUGUUGAGAAUGCAAAGAUGUGGCUAAAAUGCAAUGUUCUUGGUACAACUCCGGAUCCCAGGUGGACAAGGAUGCUGUCAUAGUGUAAGAGUAGCAGAUAGGGAAAAAUGAAUGCCUGGUUGAUUGUUACAAGGAAGAUGCUAAAAAUUCACUGUGAACUCAGGAAGAUUGAUAUUCCUGAACUGUUUUUGUGUGGUUAUUUUUUAGAUUCACUCUUUAGUUACAUAACAACAUAUGCUUUCCCUAUUUACAAUGUUAAAGUAUGCUUUCCCUAUUUACAAUGUUAAAGUAGACCAAGUUAAAAAAAACACUCCCACUGCAAAUGAUAUAGCACUGAUGUAUACUGCUCAUACACUGAUGUCUUUUUCCACCAAAGCCAGCUUGCUGUACUCAAUCUGCUGUGAAAUGUCUGUAAUCUCGAAGCCAUGAAGUAUAGUAAUGUACAAGAAAACAAAGUCUAAAGAAAAAGUGUCUGCUUGGUAAUCAAUGCUUGGAGAUUGAUCUCUUCAAGUGUUGAUAGCUCCCUGGAUCUUCACAGUGUUUCCAGUGGAUAUUUUGGAUUGGGAAAAAGAAUUGCCUCAGCUAAGCUUGAAGACUUGAACACUCUUUGUCUAGAAAUAAAGCUUUCUGCAAUGCUAAAAG